UCACUUGUCACUGUGACUUAUCGCUUAUCUCACUAGGCUAAGUGAUUUAUCUGGGUAUCACUUCUUUCUGCAUCUGGCCUUUGUCAAUAGCAGUGAACAAAGAGAAGAAAAGGAAGCAGGAUUCUUCUUGGAGAUGUUGCAGAAGAGGAGGAGGAGGAAGAAGAAGAAGAAGAAGAAGAAGAAGAAGAAGAAGAAGAAGAAGAAGAAGAAGAAGAAGAAAACGAAAAGGUGGCAGAAGAAAGAAAAAGUGGAAGAAAGAAAUAAAAAAGAAACACUUGAAGCAUUUUUAGGGUUGUAAAUCACAGGUUCUUGGAAGGCUGAGGCAAGUAGAUCACAAGUUUUAGACUCACUUAACCUACUGUCUAAAAAAAG
ensembl:processed_transcript Platr32 pluripotency associated transcript 32